AUCUGGCAGUCUUUGAUUGUCCGAGUUGCAAUCUAGAGAAGUGUUACCCGCGUUGGACCGUGUAUAAGUCUCCUGGAAUGGAGCGUCAUAGAGGGUGAGAAUCCCGUCUUUGACACGGACUACCAAGGCUUUGUGGUAUGCUCUCAAAGAGUCGAGUUGUUUGGGAAUGCAGCUCAAAAUGGGUGGUAAAUGCCAUCUAAAGCUAAAUACAGGCGAGAGACCGAUAGCGAACAAGUACCGUGAGGGAAAGAUGAAAAGAACUUUGGAAAGAGAGUUAAACAGUACGUGAAAUUGCUGAAAGGGAAACGCUUGAAGUCAGUCGCGUUGGCUAGAAAUCAACCUUGCUUUUGCUGGGUGUACUUUCUAGUCGACGGGUCAGCAUCAGUUUUGAUCAGUGGAUAAAGGCAUAAGAAAUGUGGCUCCUUUGGGAGUGUUAUAGUCUUUUGUUGUAUACACUGGUUGGGACUGAGGAACUCAGCACGCCGCAAGGCCGGGGUUCGCCCACGUACGUGCUUAGGAUGCUGGCAAAAUGGCUUUAAUCGACCCGUCUUGAAACACGGACCAAGGAGUCUAACAUGCCUGCNAGUGUUUGGGUGGAAAACCCGAGCGCGUAAUGAAAGUGAAAGUUGAGAUCCCUGUCGUGGGGAGCAUCGACGCCCAGACCAGACCUUUUGUGACGGAUCUGCGGUAGAGCAUGUAUGUUGGGACCCGAAAGAUGGUGAACUAUGCCUGAAUAGGGUGAAGCCAGAGGAAACUCUGGUGGAGGCUCGUAGCGAUUCUGACGUGCAAAUCGAUCGUCAAAUUUGGGUAUAGGGGCGAAAGACUAAUCGAACC
rnacentral:rRNA from 1 species